AUACUUAUCUGGCAGGGAGACACCUUGAUCAUGAAGGAGGUUUUACCAGGGUGAGGCUCAUCCAUUUUACUCUGGCUGAACUGACCCCUGUGAUUUCCCCAAAUGUGGAAAACUUGACUGCAUAAUUUGUGGUAGUGGGGAACUAUUUGAGUGCUUUACCCUAC
rnacentral:snRNA from 1 species